rnacentral:rRNA from 1 species
AUUGAACGCUGGCGGCAGGCCUAACACAUGCAAGUCGAGCGGAUGAAGGGAGCUUGCUCCUGGAUUCAGCGGCGGACGGGUGAGUAAUGCCUAGGAAUCUGCCUGGUAGUGGGGGAUAACGUCCGGAAACGGGCGCUAAUACCGCAUACGUCCUGAGGGAGAAAGUGGGGGAUCUUCGGACCUCACGCUAUCAGAUGAGCCUAGGUCGGAUUAGCUAGUUGGUGGGGUAAAGGCCUACCAAGGCGACGAUCAGUAACUGGUCUGAGAGGAUGAUCAGUCACACUGGAACUGAGACACGGUCCAGACUCCUACGGGAGGCAGCAGUGGGGAAUAUUGGACAAUGGGCGGAAGCCUGAUCCAGCCAUGCCGCGUGUGUGAAGAAGGUCUUCGGAUUGUAAAGCACUUUAAGUUGGGAGGAAGGGCAGUAAGUUAAUACCUUGCUGUUUUGACGUUACCAACAGAAUAAGCACCGGCUAACUUCGUG